rnacentral:rRNA from 1 species
UACGUAGGGUGCAAGCGUUAUUCGGAAUUACUGGGCGUAAAGCGUGCGCAGGCGGCUUUGCAAGACAGAUGUGAAAUCCCCGGGCUUAACCUGGGAACUGCAUUUGUGACUGCAUGGCUAGAGUGCGGCAGAGGGGGAUGGAAUUCCGCGUGUAGCAGUGAAAUGCGUAGAGAUGCGGCGGAACACCGAUGGCGAAGGCAGCCCCCUGGGCUGAGAUUGACGCUCAGGCACGAAAGCGUGGGGAGCAAACAGG